UGAGAGAAGCAGCAUAGCCCAGUGGUUAAGUGUGCAAGCUCGGAAGUGACGCAGCUGGGUUCCAAUCCUAAAUUCUGCCUCUUGCCAGCUCUGCAUAAACUGGUGGCAAACUACUUCACUUCUGCAAGCCUCCUGCGCCAUGCCUACAGAUACAGGGCUCCGUGGACACUGAGCACCCGGAGUCCCGGACAUAGAGAACAUUUGGGUGUUGCAGCUUUGCUGGUCAACCUAUGAGGACACUGAGAUUAAGAGAGGUGGAAUGCCCUGAUCACAUAGUAAGUUGCAGAGCCUGGAUUUGAAGGAACUCAGAUGUCGCUACCCAGGGCCCUCAUACGCUCUAUAAAUAGAG